UUUGGAGGUUGUGCCCUUGAGGCGUGGCUUCCGGAGCUAACGCGUUAAAUCGACCGCCUGGGGAGUACGGCCGCAAGGUUAAAACUCAAAUGAAUUGACGGGGGCCCGCACAAGCGGUGGAGCAUGUGGUUUAAUUCGAUGCAACGCGAAGAACCUUACCUGGUCUUGACAUCCACAGAACUUUCCAGAGAUGGAUUGGUGCCUUCGGGAACUGUGAGACAGGUGCUGCAUGGCUGUCGUCAGCUCGUGUUGUGAAAUGUUGGGUUAAGUCCCGCAACGAGCGCAACCCUUAUCCUUUGUUGCCAGCGGUUAGGCCGGGAACUCAAAGGAGACUGCCAGUGAUAAACUGGAGGAAGGUGGGGAUGACGUCAAGUCAUCAUGGCCCUUACGACCAGGGCUACACACGUGCUACAAUGGCGCAUACAAAGAGAAGCGACCUCGCGAGAGCAAGCGGACCUCAUAAAGUGCGUCGUAGUCCGGAUUGGAGUCUGCAACUCGACUCCAUGAAGUCGGAAUCGCUAGUAAUCGUAGAUCAGAAUGCUACGGUGAAUACGUUCCCGGGCCUUGUACACACCGCCCGUCACACCAUGGGAGUGGGUUGCA
rnacentral:rRNA from 1 species